rnacentral:tRNA from 1 species
GGGUCCAUAGUUCAAUGGUAGAACAUCGGUCUCCAAAACCGAUGACCUAGGUUCGAUUCCUAGUGGGCCCGCUA